GCCGUACGGCGGCGCCCCCGGCGUAGGGCCUGCGGGUCCCAGUGUCUCCCACUUUGUGACUUUGCUGGCCUCGGCCCUGCGCCCUCGCCACGCUGUUGCUCAGUGUUUCCUCAGGAAAUGUUUGGAGGCACGGCAAGACUAAUAAGAGCGUUGUGCGGUGCUUUCCACAUCUUAUCUCUUUCUUAUAUCACUUACAGCCUUUAUCUCCAGUGCACAGGGGAGGAAGCCGAGGGACAGAAAAGGGAAUUAUCUUUCCCAAGCUCAGCAGUUGAGACCAGAGCAGACGCCGCCGGAGCCUUGGCUUUUAAGUCGUCGCUGUUUUACGGGCCUGGUAAAAUGAGACUCCUAGCCACGACCGGCGUUCUUGGAGGUUACUGCAACCCAGACACCACCGCCUAGGAGCUCAUCAUCUAAGAAGGGAACCAAGAGAGGCCUAAAGGAUAACCAGCAAUACAGCAAUCCCGGAGCAAGUCUAAGAAGGGUGUUGGCAGUAUUUUUCU
rnacentral:lncRNA from 1 species